rnacentral:rRNA from 1 species
AUUGAACGCUGGCGGAAUGCUUUACACAUGCAAGUCGAACGGCAGCACGGGUGCUUGCACCUGGUGGCGAGUGGCGGACGGGUGAGUAAUGCAUCGGAACGUGCCGUAUAGUGGGGGAUAACGCAUCGAAAGGUGUGCUAAUACCGCAUACGCCCUGAGGGGGAAAGUGGGGGACCGUAAGGCCUCACGCUAUACGAGCGGCCGAUGUCCGAUUAGCUAGUUGGUGGGGUAAAGGCUCACCAAGGCGACGAUCGGUAGCUGGUCUGAGAGGACGACCAGCCACACUGGGACUGAGACACGGCCCAGACUCCUACGGGAGGCAGCAGUGGGGAAUUUUGGACAAUGGGGACAACCCUGAUCCAGCCAUUCCGCGUGAGUGAAGAAGGCCUUCGGGUUGUAAAGCUCUUUUGUCAGGGAGGAAAUCCUUAGCGUUAAUGCCGUUGGGGAUGACAGUACCUGAAGAAUAAGGACCGGCUAACUACGUGCCAGCAGCCGCGGUAA